CCGGGCCACCACUCCUUCCUCCUCGAUCCUUGAGCUACCCUGUUGCCGCCUAAAGAGUCCAACGCUGUGUCCAGUCUCCCAUCAAUCCUUAUGACUGCUCUAAUGAUGUGUCUAGUCCGCCUCUACAUGUAAUGCGAGGGAGGAAAGGAAGGAAGGAAGGAAGGAAGGAAGGAAGGAAUUAAUUCCUUCGUCUCCACAUAAUUCACGCAACAGCCUUGGAAUCCUUAUAUACCCAAGCAAAAGAGAUUAGCGACCAUACCAUCCUUUUUCAGCAUCUGAACCUCUUGUAACUCUCUGAGAUCCCUUUCUUGAUCAUGGAAAGCGAUAUUAAGAGUGACUUUGUAAAUCAUGAAUGUGUAAAUACCAAUACAAAAACCUGAGUGACAAAUUAACAAGUGUAUUAAAAACCAAAGGCAUGGUAAUGAUAUUGGAUUUCUUUAUAUGAUUUCCAGUCCUGAUCGUCUUUUAUUUUCGGAAUUGUAAGUUUAAGAAUUUUCUCAUCCUUUAUUUAGAGUUAAAACGCCUAUGUUCUUAAUUACACAGAAAAAUGAAGUUGAAGUUUGAUUCUUUUAAGUUUGACAUCAGUUUUAAGUUUAUUUUUAGCUCUAAGGAAGGUGUGUGUGUGUGUGUGUGUGUGUGUGUGUGUGUGUGUUGUGGUGAUGGUGGUAAGGGUCAUUGUUAUAUUUUUUUCUCUCCACACAGUCAACUCGAUACCUAUCUUCCUCCUCCUCCAUCUCCUCCUUUCCUAUUACCUCCCUGGCUUCUCCUCCGUCUCUCCCAGCACACCUUACAGUUAUCCUCCUUUGAUUUACCUUCGUCUUCGUAAAGUCUGGGUUAGGCUGGGUGCAAAGAGUGGGUUCCAUCACGCGGGAAAAGAUUCAUUCUAUUGAGUUGACGGAGUGUUCCAUUUCUGAAAGAUUAAUAACAUGAGGUUCUGUUGUCUAUGUUAUCAGUAAUGUUUUCAGGUCAUAGUUGCUGUCUAGUCGCCGUCUCGAUCCUUGUUCCACCUGACUGACUAGGUAAUAAAUAUGUGUAAGUCAA